rnacentral:tRNA from 1 species
UGCCCCUUAGCCAAGAGGUAAGGCAACGGUCUUUGACUCCGUGAUCCUUGGUUCGAUUCCAGGAGGGGUAGCCA